UGGCUUCGGCAGCCCAUACACUAAAAUAGGAACGGUGCAGAGAAAAUUGGCGUGGCCCCCGCGCAACGACACGCAAAUUUGUAAAGUGUUCCAGAUUUUU
ensembl:snRNA U6 U6 spliceosomal RNA